rnacentral:rRNA from 1 species
UAGGGAAUCUUCGGCAAUGGGGGCAACCCUGACCGAGCAACGCCGCGUGAGUGAAGAAGGUUUUCGGAUCGUAAAGCUCUGUUGUAAGAGAAGAACGUGUGUGAGAGUGGAAAGUUCACACAGUGACGGUAACUUACCAGAAAGGGACGGCUAACUACGUGCCAGCAGCCGCGGUAAUACGUAGGUCCCGAGCGUUGUCCGGAUUUAUUGGGCGUAAAGCGAGCGCAGGCGGUUUAAUAAGUCUGAAGUUAAAGGCAGUGGCUUAACCAUUGUUCGCUUUGGAAACUGUUAAACUUGAGUGCAGAAGGGGAGAGUGGAAUUCCAUGUGUAGCGGUGAAAUGCGUAGAUAUAUGGAGGAACACCGGUGGCGAAAGCGGCUCUCUGGUCUGUAACUGACGCUGAGGCUCGAAAGCGUGGGGAGCAACCAGG